ACGAACGCUGGCGGCGUGCUUAACACAUGCAAGUCGCACGGAAAGGCCCUGCUUUUGUGGGGUGCUCGAGUGGCGAACGGGUGUGUAACACGUGAGUAACCUGCCCUUGACUUUGGGAUAACUUCAGGAAACUGGGGCUAAUACCGGAUAGGAGCUCCUGCUGCAUGGUGGGGGUUGGAAAGUUUCGGCGGUUGGGGAUGGACUCGCGGCUUAUCAGCUUGUUGGUGGGGUAGUGGCUUACCAAGGCUUUGACGGGUAGCCGGCCUGAGAGGGUGACCGGCCACAUUGGGACUGAGAUACGGCCCAGACUCCUACGGGAGGCAGCAGUGGGGAAUAUUGCACAAUGGGCGGAAGCCUGAUGCAGCAACGCCGCGUGCGGGAUGACGGCCUUCGGGUUGUAAACCGCUUUCGCCUGUGACGAAGCGUGAGUGACGGUAAUGGGUAAAGAAGCACCGGCUAACUACGUG
rnacentral:rRNA from 1 species